AAAUCUAUUUACGAGGAUUAAUAGUAGAAUUCCCGAUUAUCGCUCAGAAGAUUAGUUCAUGCAUACCAGAUUCAUGCAUAGUUACAAUUACGCUUUCUCAUUAAUUAAGAAUUUUCCUCGAGGCAAUGUCUUAUUUUUAUAUUCUCGUGAUUAAGGUCAAGCGCAAGAAUAAGAACUACACAAGGAGUUAGAGUACCUUAGCAAAACUUUGCUAUCAGGUUGAGUUGUGAUGGGCGAUGAAGUGUUGCUGAGUGGAGUUUUUGUUGAACUUAAAGUAGGCUCAGAAAGGAUACAUGUCUUCAUACAUGUAUCUCAGUUAUGCAUUCUGCUGUAAACCCUGAUUAUUUCAGUUACGCCUUCCGUUGCAAACUCUGAUAAUAUUUUAGCCAAGCCCCUAACGAUGCCUUUUCCUUUUAAGGAAUAUAACGCGUAUAGAAAUUCUUUGAGUACCCUUUUUAUGCGAACUAUGCCUUGUUCGUUUGUAAGGAAUAUUUCACGCGUAUUCAAA